rnacentral:lncRNA from 10 species
GGCCAGGAUGGGAUUUUAUUUGCAUGUUAAAAUGAUAAUGAUGAGGCAGAAACUUAACAAUCUAUAUUCUUCAGGUGUACAGGCUCACUCAACCCUCGUAAGAGCCAGAAAAGGGGCCGGAUGCGGUGGCUCACCCCUGUAAUCCCAGCACUUUGGGAGGCCGAGAUGGGUGGAUUGCUUGAGCCCAGGAGUUUGAGACCAGCCUGGGCAACAUAGUGAGGCCCCAUCUCUAUUAAAAUUGGUUUUAAAAAAGAGCCAGAAGUGGCAGGUGCUGUUCUCAUCCCCACUUCACAGACGAGGAACCUGAGGGUCCGAGACACAGGAAGCUGCUUGAUCCUCCAGCCAGGAUGAGGCUGAGGGAGAGCCCAGGCCAACCCGCUCUUGGAGUUUGGACUUUCAACCGCGAAUUUUCCACAACCGUAUGGAAAUGUUCGUCCAGGGGUUCUGGAAACACUCAGUCCCCAUGGUCUGUCUUCUGUUUUCCUAUUUUUGGUAAGCAUUAAAAACAAAACAAAACAAAACAAAAGCUCUUCCCUUUCCCUGUUGGUCCAUUCUGAGGAAGCGUCACCCAAUGUGGUGACAAACAGUAAGUGGCAUCAGCCCCAGCGUGGCAGUGAUAGGGCGUGGUGGGGACUGUGGCGCGGAGAGUCCCCACAGGAAAGGGAGCAGCGGCUUCACCCACAGAUGCUGCAGCAAGGAGAGCCCCGUGCCAGCUGCCCAGGCUGUUGGAUCCGUUCAGGGAUCCGGCUUGCACGUGGGCCCACGAAGGGGGUCUGCACGCAGGCAGGGUCUCUGUUCCCCGAGCGUCUAUCCCCAGCACCCACAGCAGUGCCCAGCUCAGCUAGGGUGCAAUAAAUGAUGUGUGAACUGGUGAAUUCAUGGAAAUCUCCCACUUUUUACCUAUUGGGGAUUAAUUCCAUGUUUUAAGUCUGGGCCGGCAGUGCCACGUGGUCCUCCAGGUGUGUCCUCUGUCAGGUGCUAGAGGACACCCCAAGGUCAGCAGGGGCUUCUGCUGGGUCUCUGAGCCAUUAUUCUCUCGCCUGCCUCACGUGAACACAGGUUUCCUGGGUGGAGUUUAGUUGAGAGAUCGCAGUCAUUCGCAGGAGGAAACCUGCUGCUCCCUCAGGGGUGCAGUGAGUUUCAGGCAUUAGGACGGAGCCAACACCCAGGCUUCCUAAAGCCCUGAACAUAAAUUUCUCUCAACUCCCUUUUCUUGGGAAUUAGCAAAUCAAACACUGUAUUUUUCAGUGUCUCAAAUCUUGCUUCCUUCCAGCUGAGCCCAAGGAGAGUGAAGGGCAGAGGGUGGCACAGGGUGGAGAUUUGAGAAGUUUAAUUAAAGCCUCAGGUUCAGGCGCAGGGUGAUCCUGAUCCAUCACCAAGGUGUGGCCGCUCCCACUUCAUGAAAAGACAGCCCAGCCCUGAGGAUCAGAGCCAUCUCUCAGAUGGAGGAGAAGUCAACGCCUGACAGCCUUCGCUCAUUUGACAGAUGCUUCCCCUGAAUUCUCCUCUUGGUAAUAAAGUGGUCUCCAUGGUAACUGUUGAGGGCUUUAGGAAGUGUGGGUGUUGGCUCCGUCCUAAUGCCUGAAACUCACUGCGCCCCUGAGGGAGCAGCAGGUUUCCUCCUGCGAAUGACUGCGAUCUCUCAACUAAACUCCACCCAGGAAACCUGUGUUCACGUGAGGCAGGCGAGAGAAUAAUGGCUCAGAGACCCAGCAGAAGCCCCUGCUGACCUUGGGGUGUCCUCUAGCACCUGACAGAGGACACACCUGGAGGACCACGUGGCACUGCCGGCCCAGACUUAAAAUAUGGAAUUAAUCCCCAAUAGGAAACAGGACUCCCAGGAUAAAAAGUUCCCUUUCUAACCAGACCAGCUGAGACUGGUUGAAACCAAGAUAGCUGACCGAGAAACUUCAAAAAGACCUUCAGCCUUAUUAUCAUCUCAUUUCCAUGCUCAGUGACACGCCCACAGUGCCAUGAUGGUUGGAAAUCACCAUGACGAUGACUGGAGGAAGGAAGGUCGCGCUCCGGUUCCAGGAAGCUCACUGCCCGCUCCCGGAAAAGACAUGAAUAUUCCUCCCCUUGCUUGGGCCACGGAAUGAAGCCUGCACUGCGGACACUCACUUUCGGUUUCAUGUAUUGGCUUCGUGACACCCCACAGCGAAAGACCCUCUGUUCUGGGGGAAUGACUGUGUUGGUGACAAAACCAUGCUUUCUGGAUCACUGUGGUAUUACGGCAGGGCUUGAAGUCAGGUAUGUGGGUUCUCCAACUCUGUUCUUUUUUCUUCCUCAUGGUGUUGGCUGUCCGAGGACUUUCGCCUUUCCAUAUGAACUUUAGACUCAGGUGGCAUCGCCUGCAGAAUGCCUUGCUGGGAUUGGCCGGGAUUGAACGUUAGACUCAGGUGGCAUCACCUGCAGAAUGCCUUGCUGGGAUUGGCCGGGAUUGAACGUUAGACUCAGGUGGCAUCACCUGCAGAAUGCCUUGCUGGGACUGGCUGGGAUUGAACGUUAGACUCAGGUGGCAUCGCCUGCAGAAUGCCUUGCGGGGAUUGGCUGGGAUUGAACGUUAGACUCAGGUGGCAUCGCCUGCAGAAUGCCUUGAGGGGAUUGGCCGGGAUUGAACGUUAGACUCAGGUGGCAUCGCCUGCAGAAUGCUUUGCUGGGAUUGGCUGGGAUUGAACGUUAGACUCAGGUGGCAUCGCCUGCAGAAUGCCUUGCUGGGAUUGGCCGGGAUUGAACGUUAGACUCAGGUGGCAUCGCCUGCAGAAUGCCUUGCUGGGAUUGGCCGGGAUUGAACGUUAGACUCAGGUGGCAUCACCUGCAGAAUGCCUUGCUGGGAUUGGCUGGGAUUGAACGUUAGACUCAGGUGGCAUCGCCUGCAGAAUGCCUUGCGGGGAUUGGCUGGGAUUGCAGCGAAUCACCUCUUGGCUCUAAUAGCCAAAAUUCAUAGCUGUGCAGAACUCUCUUUGAAAAAAUGGCCAAUGAUUACAUAAGAGUGAAUCCAAUUCCCAUUAACAAAUCUUAAUAUAAUACAUCCAACAAAGCUACGUGUAGAAACUAAGUGACAUCAAACAUAUGCUUGUCGUAAUCACGUGUGUUGAAAACUGUGUUGAAAAGUGCACCAGGUGCCAGUAGGGGCCAAGGGACCUAGGCCCCUUGCCAAGGUCAGCGCAUGCUGACCUGCGCUGGUGGUCGGGUGGAGGGCUCCAUUUGCAAACAGGCGACAGUUGGCUGCCAAUCUUGUUGAUCAUUUAUUUGCUGAUCAAAAAGGAAUUCUGUCAGUACUGUGCACCCUAACACAAUAUUUGGACCUUCAUACAUGUAUUAGUCGGUUUUCCUGCUGCUAAUAAAGACAUACCCAAGACUGGGUAAUUUAUAAAGGAAAGAGGUUUAAUGGACUCACAGUUCCGCAUGGCUGGGGAGGCCUCACAAUCAUGGUGAAUGGCAAAGGAGGAGCAAAGUUGCAUCUUACAUGGCAGCAAGCAAGAGGCCUUGUGCAGGGGAACUCCCAUUUAUAAAACCAUUAGAUCUCAUGAGACUUACUCACUAUCACGAGAACGGCAUGGGAAAUGUCUGCCUCCAUGAUUCAAUUACUUCCCACCAGGUCCCUCCCACAACACAUGGGAAUUAUGGGAGCUACAAUUCAAGAUGAGAUUUGGGUGGGGACUCAGCCAAACCAUAUCGAUACAUAAGCAUUUUACUGGGCUUUGGCUGUAUUAAGGGAUUGAUUGGAGAUUUUAAGAUCAUACAUUAUAAUUUUUCCCAUUUAAAAUAAUGCAAAAUGUGUUCUUCAUUGAUGCUUCCAAGCACAGAUUCUGACAUUUUGCAACAGGAUUCCAAUGUUAAGAGAAAGCUCCGUGUCACUUACUGGUUCUGAUGGGUCAGACCUGGACUCGGGGAAUGGAGGGGCUGGGUUCCUCCUAAACCACAGGGACUGAGGUGGGGUACGAGUGACUACCCAAAAGAACACUGGGGUUCAUUUAGCAACAGGAUGGGAAAUGGAUACUGAAAAGCAAAAUAACAAAUUUUACAAAAAUGUUUUCUGUCCAAGAAUUAAAUAUGUGACACAUCAAUGUGUUCAAUGUCCUUACAUAUUAUGCGUAAGACAUCUGGGCACAGAUAGGAAGGCAGGACAGGUCUGAGCACCUCCCGCCACCUCUCCCCUCCCGGCUCAGGAAAGCUGCUCACAGCUGCAGCCAGCCCGGCCCCCCGCCCUCACCUGCUCCCCCUGCUGUCUCCAGAGUCCCUGGGCUUUCUCCCCCUCCACCUGUUUCCUCUCCUUGGGCUGCCUCUCCCAGGCUAAACAUGCCCGGGGCACAUCAGUGUUGAAAAGAGCUGUUUCUCUGCUGUCCUCACCCCUAAGCUACAGGCUACACCUUGUUUCCCACCCACGGAGAAUCUUCUAGGGAAAUUAGUGCACAGGAUAAGCUUUUAACAGAUUAUCAGAAACGUUUUCAUCCUAGUGUUUCCUGUGACCAUGUGGCCCGCCCAUCCAGGAUGGUCUGCAUCCAGGGAAAGAUGGGGAAGAGGGGAGGGCAGGCCCAGUGGGGGCCUCCCCACCCACAGGCCCCUCCUCCUCCUGAUGGAGCAGCCCCAUCUGCUACAAGCACUCCCCAGGGGUGCGGGGUUCAUGCUUAGAGCAGCAAUCAUUCCUGUUUAUCUGAAAUUCAAAUCUGCCUGGCAUCAGGUACAUUCAUUUACUAACCUGCAGCUCCACCUGGAAUGAUUUGGGACAGCCCUUCCCAUCUCCCUGGGAAGGAUCAGUGGUGUUUGGACAGGCACUUUGCACCCUGGGUGCCUGUGAGGUGGGUUCCCCUUCAAGAAGAGGCCUAACCAGUGCUCCUGCUCCCUGGGUCGGGUCUCCUCACAGCCCAGGGUCUGGGUGGUCUGCAGGGCAGGCUGUUCUCUGUUCCUCCAGCAAGGAUGACCACUGCAGGUGGGGCUGCAGGGAGGCCAGGUGCUACCAGGUAGAGGCCAGAGCUGGGUCGCUCAGUUCGCUCUGCUCUUGUCCUCAGACCCCGAUGCCAGCUCUAGAAAGAGGGGCCCUUUUGCCUUGGCCUCUCCAUGGGGCACAGGCCUCCCUCCCCACCCCACCACGGCAGUGGGGGCAUGAGCUCCAGGGACACCUGCUUUCCUCACAGCCCUGCCCUGAGGACGCUGAUUUGCCUUCUUGCCACAGGUCCAGAAAAGUCUGGAUUUGAUCCUGGCACCGAGGAGGGUCUCUGUGAGCUUGGACUCCUCUCCUGACAGGGGGAAGGGCAGGGCCAGUGCAUCUCACAGCCAUGGCAGGCUGAUGGGACUGUCACACAGCUUUUUGGCCUUGAACUCAGGGCUUAAUGUUAUCAUAUCACUUAAUACUCCCAGGGACCUGGGUGAGGUACAGUCCCAUUCCCAUUUGACAGAGAGGAGGCUGGGGUGCACUGAGAGGUAAUCAGUGUGCUGGCGACAUUUAACAGCCAGCUCUCCAGAAACAUAAAUCACCCUGAUUUGUGGAGAUUGCCAGGUUCCCAGGCACAAAUAUUCCCAGCACAUCCAAUUUCAAGUGCUAGCAGUUUAACAACUGGCUCAUAAAACCCCUGAAAAUGUGAGAGUCGGCUCCCACAAGCUGCUGUGGGACAGCCCCAGCUCCCUGAUAACCUUCUAGGACCUGCCCUAGUUGGGGAGGAGACGGAUCCAGACCCCAAGGGCCUGGACACCAGGGGGGCUCCACUCAGAUCCUCUGGCCCUCACCAUUCCCAGGACCCCCUCUUGGGCUUCUGUGUUCUUCUCUCUCCAGGGCUGGCUCCUGACACUCCUCUUUAAACAACUGUCCUUAGGCCACUGAGCCCGACCAGCCCCACUGCAGUGAGCCGAAGUGGCCUGGGGGCCAGCCAUGCUGAAGCUGCCUCCUCCCAGCUUGUGGGAUAUGAUUUUGGUGUUUACAGUUUUCAGGAAUUAUAUAAACCAGGUAUGACACAGGCUGAACAUCAGUCAUGGUGAAAUUAUUCACAUCCCAGGAACCUGGCAGGGGCUGUGCUGCUGCUGCCCCUGGGAGUGAGUUGUCCCACACUCAGCAGCUCGCCCUGUCUCAUCCUCCCCACCUAGCGAGGCUUUGACCAGUGACGGGGGUGUGGGAACCUCCAACAGGGCGGCUGAGGCUGGGUUCACGCUCCAGGGCGCCCCUGCAGGACCACAAGGAAGCCAUUGCAGUCAGGAGACCUGGCGCUCAAAGCUUCGCUUAUCCUGACCCUGUGCCUCUCCCCGCUCCCUCCCGGCCCUCCCUUCACGCGUCACCUGUUCCCAAGUCCUCAUCCCAGGAUCUGCUUCCGGGGACCAGGCCUGAUAGGCUCCAAAGCUCUGCUCUUAACCAGCACCGCAACUGGAGGAAAAGCAGGAGGCAUUUGGCUGUUGAUGAUCAUGACAUUUUCAUUAUUCUGUGUGGUUUGGGUUUAUUUUACCCAAGGAGCACAGUCCACAGAAAAUAGAACAUUUCAGGAAUACCAACCAAGCUAAGUAACAUGUUCACAUGAUAUUUAUUAAAACUGUGAUGAAACCGGCUCCACAAACCGUUGAUAGAAGAUGGGCUGUGUAAAACCGGUACUGGGAAAACGGGUUGUCUGUGUGGAGGAAAGUAAGACUGAAUCGCUAACCAAUACUGCAAAC